UACGAAGGGGGCUAGCGUUGCUCGGAAUCACUGGGCGUAAAGGGUGCGUAGGCGGGUCUUUAAGUCAGGGGUGAAAUCCUGGAGCUCAACUCCAGAACUGCCUUUGAUACUGAGGAUCUUGAGUUCGGGAGAGGUGAGUGGAACUGCGAGUGUAGAGGGGAAAUUCGUAGAUAUUCGCAAGAACACCAGUGGCGAAGGCGGCUCACUGGCCCGAUACUGACGCUGAGGCACGAAAGCGUGGGGAGCAAACAGG
rnacentral:rRNA from 1 species